rnacentral:rRNA from 1 species
UACGAAGGGGCUAGCGUUGCUCGGAAUGACUGGGCGUAAAGGGCGCGUAGGCGGAUGGCACAGUCAGAUGUGAAAUUCCCGGGCUUAACCUGGGGGCUGCAUUUGAUACGUGUGAUCUAGAGUGAGGAAGAGGGUCGUGGAAUUCCCAGUGUAGAGGUGAAAAUUCGUAGUAUUGGGAAGAAACACCGGUGGCGAAGGCGGCGACCUGGUCCUUGACUGACGCUGAGGCGCGAAAGCGUGGGGAGCAAACAGG